AUUGAACGCUGGCGGCAUGCCUUACACAUGCAAGUCGAACGGCAGCACGGGUGCUUGCCCCUGGUGGCGAGUGGCGAACGGGUGAGUAAUACAUCGGAACAUGUCCUGUAGUGGGGGAUAGCCCGGCGAAAGCCGGAUUAAUACCGCAUACGAUCUACGGAUGAAAGCGGGGGACCUUCGGGCCUCGCGCUAUAGGGUUGGCCGAUGGCUGAUUAGCUAGUUGGUGGGGUAAAGGCCUACCAAGGCGACGAUUAGUAGCUGGUCUGAGAGGACGACCAGCCACACUGGGACUGAGACACGGCCCAGACUCCUACGGGAGGCAGCAGUGGGGAAUUUUGGACAAUGGGCGAAAGCCUGAUCCAGCAAUGCCGCGUGUGUGAAGAAGGCCUUCGGGUUGUAAAGCACUUUUGUCCGGAAAGAAAUCCUUGGCCCUAAUACGGUCGGGGGAUGACGGUACCGGAAGAAUAAGCACCGGCUAACUACGUG
rnacentral:rRNA from 1 species